GAAUGGGUUUGAUUACUUCAGAAAAUCAUCAACCAGCUUCUCAGACUGAACUUUGGAGUUAUCAAAUUAUGUCUCCACAUCAGUGGCUGGAUCUACUGAGUGAAUCUGAUGUCUGAUGGAGUCUGCUAAUAGGUGAUUGGUCUAUCCAGAGAGCCUGAUUUGCAUAGACCGACUGCAGUACAGUAAGGCAGGUCUGUGAGGAGGAGAGCCGGAAGUUUCACGGCUUAAUUGAUGCCUUUCCACGUAACCAUGACAACUCGAGGAGACAGGCCGUCACUAUGGAGAUCGGAACUGAUGUCAGAGUCUCUGUCACACAUGGCUUUAGUGAGGAGGGGGGCGUUUACUGACGGCAGUUUGGCCUCGCUCCAGUUGUUCUGGCCUGGGCUGCUUUUUGAAUACGUGCCAUCAGAACAAAAGCAGCUAGUUUUAGUCAAGAGAUAAAGGUGGUAAUGGACUGGCGACCUGUCCAGGGUGUAUCCUGCCUUCUGCCUGAUGACCACUGGGAUAGGCUCCAGCACCCCCCCUGCGACCCUGACGGAGAAGCGUCUUAGAAAAUGGAUGGAUGGAUGGAUGGAUGGACUUAUAUUAAAUAAUCACUGGACCUCGGGGGGGGUUGGGGUGGGAGGGUGGAAUAACCAGAAGUGUGGAGUCAUAUAACUUGGACUCGAAUCCAACUUUGAAGUUGCCAAAGCUGAUUUGUUAAUUGCAAGCUGUGCACUGGACUUUGUUGUUCUGCCUUAAAUGACACCCUUUUCGGUGCUAUAAACCAUUUUCAAAAAGGUUCUAUAUAGAACCAUCUACAGCACAUU